rnacentral:rRNA from 1 species
UUAUGGCUCAGGAUGAACGCUAGCUACAGGCUUAACACAUGCAAGUCAGGGGCAGCAUGUGGUUGCUUGCAACCAAUGAUGGCGACCGGCGCACGGUGAGUAACGCGUAUCCAACCUUCCCUAUAGUAGAGGAUAGCCCGGCGAAAGUCGGAUUAAUACUCUAUGUUUUCCAAUGCAGACAUCUAAGUUGGAACAAAGGUUCACCGCUAUAGGAUGGGGAUGCGUCUGAUUAGAUAGUCGGCGGGGUAACGGCCCACCGAGUCGACGAUCAGUAGGGGUUCUGAGAGGAAGGUCCCCCACAUUGGAACUGAGACACGGUCCAAACUCCUACGGGAGGCAGCAGUGAGGAAUAUUGGUCAAUGGGCGAGAGCCUGAACCAGCCAAGUAAGCGUGCAGGAUGACGGCCCUAUGGGUUGUAAACUGCUUUUAUACGGGGAUAAAGUGACGUACGUGUACGUUUUUGUAGGUACUGUAUGAAUAAGGACCGGCUAAUUCCGUGCCAGCCGCGGC